rnacentral:rRNA from 1 species
CAUGCAAGUCGAGCGGUAAGGCUCCUUCGGGAGUACACGGGCGGCGAACGGGUGAGUAACACGUGAGCAAUCUGCCCUUCACUUUGGGAUAACCCCGGGAAACCGGUGCUAAUACCGAAUGCGACCACUUCAGGCAUCUGACGGUGGUGGAAAGUUCCGGCGGUGAAGGAUGAGCUCGCGGCCUAUCAGCUUGUUGGUGAGGUAAUGGCUCACCAAGGCUUCGACGGGUAGCCGGCCUGAGAGGGUGACCGGCCACACUGGGACUGAGACACGGCCCAGACUCCUACGGGAGGCAGCAGUGGGGAAUAUUGGGACAAUGGGCGAAAGCCUGAUCCAGCAACGCCGCGUGAGGGAUGACGGCCUUCGGGUUGUAAACCUCUUUCAGCAGGGACGAAGCGAAAGUGACGGUACCUGCAAAAGAAGCACCGGCCAACUACGUG